ACGAGGCCACUUACCGUAGUUCCUGCAACCUCCAGCAUUGACCCCGCGCCUCCAAUAGCCUUGAAAUACUUUGACAUUCCAAGGACGCCUUGAUUUUAAGCUUGGCUCGUCAGCCGCAGUCUCUUUGUCCAAGUGAAUAACGUCCAACCACCCCGCCCGUCAAAUCGGAGAGUGCAUCGCCGAAGGUCCCGUAUUUCAAGGCCUCAUAGGAACCAUGUAAUCUAAAAGAUCAUCAAAGAUCGCAGAUCGUUAAUUCAUGGAAAAGUCCUCGCUCGCUCACUCUUCACUUGGGAUGUGAACGUCCAAACUUGAUGCCAGGCUGGGAUCGACUUACUGCCAAGACGAUGAUUUUGGUUGAUGAUGAUGGUAAUGGUUGCCUGGUUGGGCUUGCAGGUGAGGAGAAGAGAUGUGGCAUGGUCGAGGCGGUUCUUUUUGGCCAGGAUGAGCGCUUAGUGGGAUUCGGCUGUCAGAUUCUCAAGGAUCUGAGAGCUUCACCACCGUCAAGAUCAUCGUCAUCCUCCAUAUCUCCGGAGUAGGAUUCAUGACACGAGAUAACAUUAUGCGUUGAUAUUCAUUUGAUCAUCGCCAGUUGACUUGAAACAUUUGCACUGUACAACAUGAAUGAUUAUGUCGCUGAAAAAUUAUUCCUUUUAAUGAUAUCAAAUGUGGCAUUAUGUAACAUUUCAAACAUAUAAAGUCAA